GCGGAUAUGGCGGAAUUGGAAGACGCGCUAGACUUAGAAUCUAGUUCCUCGGAGUGCAGGUUCGACCCCUGUUAUCCGCA
rnacentral:tRNA from 1 species